AACGAACGCUGGCGGCAGGCCUAACACAUGCAAGUCGAGCGAUGCCUUCGGGCUAGCGGCGGACGGGUGAGUAACGCGUGGGAACGUGCCCUUUGCUACGGAAUAGCCCCGGGAAACUGGGAGUAAUACCGUAUGUGCCCUUCGGGGGAAAGAUUUAUCGGCAAAGGAUCGGCCCGCGUUGGAUUAGGUAGUUGGUGGGGUAAUGGCCUACCAAGCCGACGAUCCAUAGCUGGUUUGAGAGGAUAAUCAGCCACACUGGGACUGAGACACGGCCCAGACUCCUACGGGAGGCAGCAGUGGGGAAUCUUAGACAAUGGGGGAAACCCUGAUCUAGCCAUGCCGCGUGAUCGAUGAAGGCCUUAGGGUUGUAAAGAUCUUUCAGUGGGGAAGAUAAUGACUGUACCCACAGAAGAAGCCCCGGCUAACUCCGUGCCAGCCGCCGCGGUAACAC
rnacentral:rRNA from 1 species